rnacentral:rRNA from 1 species
GGGGAAUCUUGCGCAAUGGACGAAAGUCUGACGCAGCAACGCCGCGUGAGUGAUGAAGGUCUUUGGAUCGUAAAGCUCUUUCGGGAGGGAAGAAAUGGUCAUGCGCUAAUACCGCAUGGCCUUGACGGUACCUUCAGAAGAAGCACCGGCUAACUCUGUGCCAGCAGCCGCGGUAAUACAGAGGGUGCAAGCGUUGUUCGGAAUCAUUGGGCGUAAAGCGAGUGUAGGCGGUCGAAAAGGUCGGGUGUGAAAUCCCAGGGCUUAACCCUGGAACUGCAUUCGAAACCGUUCGACUUGAGUACGGGAGAGGGUCGUGGAAUUGUCGGUGUAGAGGUGAAAUUCGUAGAUAUCGGCAAGAACAUCAGUGGCGAAGGCGACGACCUGGUCCGAUACUGACGCUCAGACUCGAAAGCGUGGGGAGCAAAC